UAUUUUGAAUCCUAUUAAUAUGUCCAUGUUGUCUUCACUUGAGCUGCUGUUCAUUCACGCGUCGGCUGUUUAUUCUGCAGGCUGAGGCUCAAAUGUUCUGCACCUGAAACGCAAAGGUUCGUCCUGGUCGCGUCCCUCAGUUCUGUUCUGGCCCCGCCGCCAUCUUUAAUCUUGUAUCAACGGAUCGCUUCAAGAUGACGAGCGGCGCCCUCUGCUGGAUGGCGGCCAAACUGCAACACUAAGAUAAGCUCCACUUUCAAACCGCAGCACUGAGACGACGGAGAGCUGCUGAGGAAAUGUGAGCGCUUUAUUGAUUCCAACAGGAUGAGUGAUUCCCCUUCCCACUGGAGCCGCUCUGCAAAUGGACCAGCUAACGAUUUAUGGGAGGAAUCGGGAUUCAAGUAGCUCUCACACAAACACGAGACAAUAACGGGGAAAUUAUCAAUAAAGACGUUCAUUUCUGAA